GAUGAAGAACGUAGCGAAAUGCGAUAAUUAAUGUGAAUUGCAGAAUUCAGUGAAUCAUCGAAUCUUUGAACGCACAUUGCGCCCUCUGGUAUUCCGGGGGGCAUGCCUGUUCGAGCGUCAUUAUAACCACUCAAGCUCUCGCUUGGUAUUGGAGUUCGCGAUCUCGCGGCUCCUAAAAUCAGUGGCGGUGCCUGUCGGCUCUACGCGUAGUAAUACUCCUCGCGAUUGAGUCCGGUAGGUUUACUUGCCAGCAACCCCCAAUUUUUACAGGUUGACCUCGGAUCAGGUAGGGAUACCCGCUGAACUUAAGCAUAUCAAUAAGCGGAGGA
rnacentral:misc_RNA from 1 species